CUCAGAUGGGUCACCCCAUCCCCAGUACUCCCUGCAGAGGCUCACAACCCUGGGAGAACUCCUUAAUAAACCGCCUGCUCUCUGCUUUCUGCUUCAGAGUCUACUUCUCAAAGAAACCAACUUGUGACAACAAUGAGUGAGUUCCUGUUGCUCCAUGUGCAGCAUUGGGGUGUUGUCAGUGUUCUGGAUUUUGGCCAUUCUAAUAG